rnacentral:rRNA from 1 species
AUUGAACGCUAGCGGCAUGCUUUACACAUGCAAGUCGAACGAGUGGCGGACGGGUGAGUAAUAUCUCGGAACCUGCCUAGUAGCGGGGGAUAACUACUCGAAAGGGUGGCUAAUACCGCAUACUAUCGGAUCGGCCGAGAUGGGAUUAGCUAGUUGGUGGGGUAAAGGCUCACCAAGGCAACGAUCCCUAGCUGGUGUGAGAGGAAGACCAGCCACACUGGGACUGGGACACGGUCCAGACUCCUACGGGAGGCAGCAGUGGGGAAUAGUGCACAAGGGGCGCAAGCCUGAUGCAGCCAUGCCGCGUGUAUGAAGAAGGCCCUAGGGUUGUAAAGUACUUUCAGUGGGGAGGCGUUACCGACAGAAGAAGCACCGGCUAACUCCGUGCCAGCCGCCGCGGUAAUAC